rnacentral:rRNA from 1 species
CCUACGGGAUGCACCAGUGGGGAAUAUUGGACAAUGGGCGCAAGCCUGAUCCAGCCAUGCCGCGUGAGUGAUGAAGGCCUUAGGGUUGUAAAGCUCUUUCAGUGGGGAAGAUAAUGACGGUACCCACAGAAGAAGCCCCGGCUAACUUCGUGCCAGCAGCCGCGGUAAUACGAAGGGGGCUAGCGUUGUUCGGAUUUACUGGGCGUAAAGCGCACGUAGGUGGUUUGUUGAGUCAGGGGUGAAAUCCCGGAGCUCAACUCCGGAACUGCCUUUGAUACUGGCAAGCUAGAGUCCGGAAGAGGUAAGUGGAACUCCUAGUGUAGAGGUGGAAUUCGUAGAUAUUAGGAAGAACACCAGUGGCGAAGGCGGCUUACUGGUCCGGAACUGACGCUGAGGUGCGAAAGCGUGGGGAGCAAACAGGAUUAGAUACCCCUGUAGUC